rnacentral:rRNA from 1 species
UACGUAGGGCGCAAGCGUUGUCCGGAAUUAUUGGGCGUAAAGAGCUCGUAGGCGGUUUGUCGCGUCUUCUGUGAAAACCUAAGGCUCAACCUUGGGCUUGCAGUGGGUACGGGCAGACUAGAGUGCGGUAGGGGUGACUGGAAUUCCUGGUGUAGCGGUGGAAUGCGCAGAUAUCAGGAGGAACACCGAUGGCGAAGGCAGGUCACUGGGCCGCAACUGACGCUGAGGAGCGAAAGCAUGGGGAGCGAACAGG